rnacentral:rRNA from 1 species
GCCUAGCUUGCUAAGCUUGUUUUUAGUGGCGCACGGGUGAGUAACACGUGAGUUACCUGCCCCCAAGAGUGGGAUAGCCCCGGGAAACUGGGAUUAAUACCGCAUAAUAUCGCAAGAUUAAAGGUGCAAACCGCUUGGGGAUGGGCUCGCGGCCUAUUAGUUAGUUGGUGAGGUAACGGCUCACCAAGGCGAUGACGGGUAGCCGGUCUGAGAGGAUGUCCGGCCACACUGGAACUGAGACACGGUCCAGACACCUACGGGUGGCAGCAGUCGAGAAUCAUUCACAAUGGGGGAAACCCUGAUGGUGCGACGCCGCGUGGGGGAGCGAAGGUCUUCGGAUUGUAAACCCCUGUCAAGUGGGAGCAAAUUAAAAAGAUAGUACCACUAGAGGAAGAGACGGCUAACUCUGUGCCAGCAGCCGCGGUAAUACAGAGGUCUCAAGCGUUGUUCGGAAUCACUGGGCGUAAAGCGUACGUAGGCGGCUUGGUAAGUCGUGUGUGAAAGGCAGGGGCUCAACCUCUGGACUGCACAUGAUACUGCCAGGCUAGAGUAAUGGAGGGGAAACCGGAAUUCUCGGUGUAGCAGUGAAAUGCGUAGAUAUCGAGAGGAACACUCGUGGCGA